rnacentral:rRNA from 1 species
UUAAAAUUGUUUAUUUUAACAUUAAUCUAUAUGUAAAUUUUUGUGUAAAUUAAAAUUUCUUGAUGAGAUUUUGAUUAAGGAUAAAAUGCAGUAGAAAUUAUUAUUAUUAUUAAAUUCUUUUAGAUUUAGUAAAUGUUAUUAAAUUUGGUAAAAUUUGUGCCAGCAUCCGCGGUUAUACAAUAUAAUUAAAUAAACAUUAUAAGCUUUAAAGUAAUUAAUAUUUAGUUUAAUAAAAUUUAAGAUAUUUUAAGGUGAAAUAUUUAUAAUAUCUUGAAAAUAUUCAUGUAUUAGUAUGAUUUAUUAUGAAAUUAAAAUUAUAAACUAGGAUUAGAUACCCUAUUAUUUUUAUUGUAAAGUUAUUUAAGCUGUAGUAUUAAUAGUUAUGAUCUUAAAACUUAAAGAAUUUGGCGGUAUUAUAGUCUAUUUAGAGGAAUCUGUUAUAUAAUCGAUAGUCCACGUUGAACCUUACUUAUAUUAAUUUUUGUAUAUCUCUGUUUAAGUAAAUAUUUUUAGAUGAAUUUUCUGAAUAUAAUAUUAUUUAAUAUUUCAAGUCAAGGUGCAGAAAUAUAUAAGUUGAGUAAUGGAUUACAAUAAAUUUUAUUUAUAACGAAUUGUUAUUGUAACAUAAUUUGAAGGAGGAUUUAAUUGUAAUUUUAUAAAGAUUAUUAAAAUGAUUAAUAGCUCUAUAAUAUGUACACAUCGCCCGUCACUCUCGUUAUUAAAAUGAGAUAAGUCGUAACAAAGUAGAUGUAUGGGAAGCUGUAUCUAGAUAGCUUA